rnacentral:tRNA from 1 species
UGGGGCGUAGCCAAGUUGGUUAAGGCACCGGAUUUUGAUUCCGGCAUGCGCAGGUUCGAAUCCUGCCGCCCCAGCCA